GGAAGUAAAAGUCGUAACAAGGUCUCCGUAGGUGAACCUGCGGAGGGAUCAUUACACAAUAUGAAAGCGGGUUGGGACCUCACCUCGGUGAGGGCUCCAGCUUGUCUGAAUUAUUCACCCAUGUCUUUUGCGCACUUCUUGUUUCCUGGGCGGGUUCGCCCGCCACCAGGACCAAACCAUAAACCUUUUUGUAAUUGCAAUCAGCGUCAGUAAACAAUGUAAUUAUUACAACUUUCAACAACGGAUCUCUUGGUUCUGGCAUCGAUGAAGAACGCAGCGAAAUGCGAUACGUAGUGUGAAUUGCAGAAUUCAGUGAAUCAUCGAAUCUUUGAACGCACAUUGCGCCCUUUGGUAUUCCAAAGGGCAUGCCUGUUCGAGCGUCAUUUGUGCCCUCAAGCUUUGCUUGGUGUUGGGCGUCUUUGUCUCUCACGAGACUCGCCUUAAAAUGAUUGGCAGCCGACCUACUGGUUUCGGAGCGCAGCACAAUUCUUGCACUUUGAAUCAGCCUUGGUUGAGCAUCCAUCAAGACCACAUUUUUUUCAACUUUUGACCUCGGAUCAGGUAGGGAUACCCGCUGAACUUAAGCAUAUCAAUAAGCGGAGGA
rnacentral:rRNA from 1 species